ACUACAAGACCAAAAUAAAGGAAAUAAUAAUAUGGAAACAAUAAUAAUUUCCUCAACUUUUCCAUUUUAGGAUGGAGUCCUGCACUUCUCUUCCAUUCCUCCCCAUCAACCAUGAAAAAUCACAAGCUUUCAUGGCAGCUAUAUGGCUUUUUCUGGCCUCCUAAACCCUAAUUGAAGCUAGCCAGAAGCAUGCAACAGAAGAUGAACCCUAAUCUUGCAGGCAGAAGAAAGAAAAAGCUAGCCGCAGCUCAACCCAAAGGUUAAAUGAAAGGAAUAAAGAAGUGCAGGAGGGUUGCAGAAAGCUUUUUAUGUUUUUGGCUGCUGGAGAGGAAUGGCAGAAAAGUGCAGGAGUCCAUCAUGAAUUGGAAUAGUUGAAAUUUCUUCCAUAUCACCUUUUUUUUU